UGCCGCGUGAGUGAAGAAGGCCUUCGGAUUGUAAAGCUCUUUUAGUUGGGAGGAAGGGCAGUUACCUAAUACGUAUCUGUUUUGACGUUACCGACAGAAUAAGCACCGGCUAACUCUGUGCCAGCAGCCGCGGUAAUACAGAGGGUGCUAGCGUUAAUCGGAAUUACUGGGCGUAAAGCGCGCGUAGGUGGUUCGUUAAGUUGGAUGUGAAAUCCCCGGGCUCAACCUGGGAACUGCAUUCGAAACUGACGAGCUAGAGUGUGGUAGAGGGUGGUGGAAUUUCCUGUGUAGCGAUGAAAUGCGUAGAUAUAGGAAGGAACACCAGUGGCGAAGGCGACCACCUGGACUGAUGCUGACACUGAGGAGCGAAAGCGUGGGGAGCAAACAGGAUUAGAUACCCUGGUAGUCCACGCCGUAAACGAUGUCAACUAGCCGUUGGGAGCCUUGAGCUCUUAGUGGCGCAGCUAACGCAUUAAGUUGACCGCCUGGGGAGUACGGCCGCAAGGUUAAAACUCAGA
rnacentral:rRNA from 1 species